rnacentral:rRNA from 1 species
UAAAGUUGUUGCAGUUAAAAAGCUCGUAGUUGAAUUUCGGGAUCAAUACGUCGGUCGUGCCUUCGGUACGUACUAAUGUCAUUGAUUUCUCCCUUCUGAUGAAUCAUGAUGUCAUUAAUUUGAUGUUGUGGGGAGUCAGGACUGUUACUUUGAAAAAAUUAGAGUGUUUAAAGCAGGCACGCGCUUGAAUACAUUAGCAUGGAAUAAUGAAAUAGNACGUUCGAUUCUAUUUUGUUGGUUUCUAGGAUCAACGUAAUGAUUAAUAGGG